AAUAAAGUCAGCUAAAUUGAUUAAGCUAGUGGGUUCAUACCCCAAAAAUGAUUUCUCCUUUAUUA
rnacentral:tRNA from 1 species